CAAGUACCGAGAUAUUCAGCGAAAUCCGCCACGGAAUAAAACACGCGUCACGUGGAUAAGUUUACGACAUCGCGCAUCGCAUCGCAUCGAUAAUGCGAUCUUGCGAAACACUGUUACCAGGAAAAAUCGUACAUAUUCGUAUGACUCGAAGAUGAUCUAAUAUCGCACAACUGUUUUGGUAUAAACAAGAGAUGAGUGGCUGGAAAAAAGAGAGAGAGAGAGAGAAAGGAAAAAAACAGAGGCAGGAGAGUUCAGCAACAUUCAGAAGUGCACCG
rnacentral:misc_RNA from 1 species